rnacentral:rRNA from 1 species
GAUGAACGCUAGCGGGAGGCCUAACACAUGCAAGCCGAGCGGUAUUUGUUCUUCGGAACAGAGAGAGCGGCGCACGGGUGCGGAACACGUGUGCAACCUGCCUUUAUCUGGGGGAUAGCCUUUCGAAAGGAAGAUUAAUACCCCAUAAUAUAUUGAGUCGUAUCAUUUGAUAUUGAAAACUCCGGUGGAUAGAGAUGGGCACGCGCAAGAUUAGAUAGUUGGUGAGGUAACGGCUCACCAAGUCAAUGAUCUUUAGGGGGCCUGAGAGGGUGAUCCCCCACACUGGUACUGAGACACGGACCAGACUCCUACGGGAGGCAGCAGUGAGGAAUAUUGGACAAUGGGUUAGCGCCUGAUCCAGCCAUCCCGCGUGAAGGACGACGGCCCUAUGGGUUGUAAACUUCUUUUGUAUAGGGAUAAACCUACUCUCGUGAGAGUAGCUGAAGGUACUAUACGAAUAAGCACCGGCUAACUCCGUG